UAGGGAAUCUUCCGCAAUGGACGCAAGUCUGACGGAGCAACGCCGCGUGAGUGAAGAAGGAUUUCGGUUCGUAAAACUCUGUUGUUAGAGAAGAACAGCGCAUAGAGUAACUGUUAUGCGUGUGACGGUAUCUAACCAGAAAGCCACGGCUAACUACGUGCCAGCAGCCGCGGUAAUACGUAGGUGGCAAGCGUUGUCCGGAUUUAUUGGGCGUAAAGCGAGCGCAGGCGGUCAAUUAAGUCUGAUGUGAAAGCCCCCGGCUCAACCGGGGAGGGUCAUUGGAAACUGGUUGACUUGAGUGCAGAAGAGGAGAGUGGAAUUCCAUGUGUAGCGGUGAAAUGCGUAGAUAUAUGGAGGAACACCAGUGGCGAAGGCGACUCUCUGGUCUGUAACUGACGCUGAGGCUCGGAAGCGUGGGUAACAAACAGG
rnacentral:rRNA from 1 species